rnacentral:lncRNA from 1 species
CCUUAGUGUUGGCAAGAGAACCAGAUCUGUGAUGUCUGCCCCCUUGUCUGAGGAAGUAAGGCCUGCUAAGAGGUCCCAGGGUCUUCAACCUGGACCAUAUUUGGAAGCUUUGGCUUCUUUUCAGCUGGCCAUCAUUAAAAAUGGUUAUCCUGACUCCAAGAUGAUGGCUGCUGAAGUUGACCUUAUUUUGGGGAAGAUCCUGAGCAGCAUGGUUGGGAUCUCAUUUGGGAAGACCCCUACUGCUGCUUAAGGGUUACAUUGUUGACAGUGGUGCACUCGUUUAUACUUAUAUGAAUGAGUUCACCUG